GGGGGAAACCCUGAUCCAGCAAUGCCGCGUGAGUGAAGAAGGCCUUCGGGUUGUAAAGCUCUUUUGUCAGGGAAGAAACACCGGNUCUAACACAGUCCGGGAAUGACGGUACCUGAAGAAUAAGCNCCGGCUAACUACGUGCCAGCAGCCGCGGUAAUACGUAGGGUGCGAGCGUUAAUCGGAAUUACUGGGCGUAAAGCGUGCGCAGGCGGUUAUACAAGACAGGCGUGAAAUCCCCGGGCUUAACCUGGGAAUGGCGCCUGUGACUGUAUAGCUAGAGUGUGUCAGAGGGGGGUAGAAUUCCACGUGUAGCAGUGAAAUGCGUAGAUAUGUGGAGGAAUACCAAUGGCGAAGGCAGCCCCCUGGGAUAACACUGACGCUCAUGCACGAAAGCGUGGGGAGCAAACAGGAUUAGAUACCCUGGUAGUNCCACGCCCUAAACGAUGCUGACUAGUUGUUNGGGAUUUACAUNCCUGAGUAACG
rnacentral:rRNA from 1 species